rnacentral:rRNA from 1 species
UACGUAGGGUGCAAGCGUUAAUCGGAAUUACUGGGCGUAAAGCGUGCGUAGGCGGCUAUGUAAGACAGAUGUGAAAUCCCUGGGCUUAACCUAGGAACUGCAUUUGUGACUGCAUUGCUAGAGUGUGGUAGAGGGAGAUGGAAUUCCGUAUGUAGCGGUGAAAUGCGUAGAUAUGCGGAGGAACACCAAUGGCGAAGGCAAUCUCCUGGACCUGCACUGACGCUCAUGCACGAAAGCGUGGGGAGCAAACAGG